rnacentral:rRNA from 1 species
AUUGAACGCUGGCGGCGUGCUUAACACAUGCAAGUCGAUCGGUAACAGGUGUAGCAAUACAUGCUGACGAGAGGCGGACGGGUGAGGAACGCUUGGGAAUCUGCCUAUCAGCGGGGGACAACCCGGGGAAACCCGGGCUAAUACCGCAUACGCUCUACGGAGGAAAGCCGGGGACCGCAAGGCCUGGCACUGAUAGAUGAGCCCAAGUCGGAUUAGCUAGUUGGCGGGGUAACGGCCCACCAAGGCGACGAUCCGUAGCUGGUCUGAGAGGACGAUCAGCCACACCGGAACUGAGACACGGUCCGGACUCCUACGGGAGGCAGCAGUGGGGAAUAUUGGACAAUGGGCGAAAGCCUGAUCCAGCGACGCCGCGUGGGUGAAGAAGGCCUGCGGGUUGUAAAGCCCUUUCGGUUGGGACGAAAGCUCUCGACCUAACACGUCGGGAGGUUGACUUAACCUACAAAAGAAGCACCGGCUAACUCUGUGCCAGCCGCCGCCGUAA